CCUCCAGUUCUUGGCACGCAUGCAGUAGCUCGUUCCUUCUGUGUGUGAUGUAUGGAGGAAAAGGAAAUGCAAGAUCCAGUGUUGUGUUCAGUACCUGCAGCUCCCAUCUGCUGGUUCUAUUCUCAUUCACUGGGACAUGU
rfam:Alligator mississippiensis ScZkoYb_531.1, whole genome shotgun sequence.